AUGCCUUAAACUUAUGAGUAAGGAAAAUAGCCGUUUGGGAUGAAGCCUGAAUCCUCACUGCUAAUGUGAGAUGAAUUUUUGAGUGGGUGAAGGUUGCCCCUAAGGUGACCCUCCUACUUUGUGGGAUGCCUGGGAGUCGUGAUCUGCCCA
rnacentral:snRNA from 1 species